AGAGUUUGAUCCUGGCUCAGGACGAACGCUGGCGGCGUGCCUAAUACAUGCAAGUCGAGCGGACUUUUUGGGAGCUUGCUUCCGGAAAGUCAGCGGCGAACGGGUGAGUAACACGUGGGUAACCUGCCUGCAAGACCGGGAUAACUUCGGGAAACCGGAGCUAAUACCGGAUGAUCUCCUUUUCCGCAUGGAGAAGGACUGAAAGGACGGCGCAAGCUGUCGCUUGCAGAUGGGCCCGCGGCGCAUUAGCCAGUUGGUGAGGUAACGGCUCACCAAGGCGACGAUGCGUAGCCGACCUGAGUGGGUGAUCGGCCACACUGGGACUGAGACACGGCCCAGACUCCUACGGGAGGCAGCAGUAGGGAAUCUUCCGCAAUGGACGAAAGUCUGACGGAGCAACGCCGCGUGAGUGAUGAAGGCCUUCGGGUCGUAAAGCUCUGUUGUCAGGGAAGAACAAGUGCGGGAGUAACUGCCCGCACCUUGACGGUACCUGACCAGAAAGCCACGGCUAACUACGUGCCAGCAGCCGCGGUAAU
rnacentral:rRNA from 1 species